rnacentral:rRNA from 1 species
GAAUUAAAUUUCAAGUCUGGCCUGCCCAUUGAAUUAAUUUUUUAAAGGCUGCGGUAUUGACCGACAAAGGUAGCAUAAUCAUUAGUUUUUUAAUUAAAAACUUGUAUGAAUGGUUUAAUGAAAUAUUAACUGUUUCAUAAAAAUUUUUAUAGAAAUUAAUUUUUUAGUAAAAAAGCUAAAAUAAAAUUAAAAGACGAGAAGACCCUAUAGAGUUUUAUAAAAAAAUAUAUAAUAUUUAUAUAUAAAAUUUAUAAUUUAAAUUUUAUAUAUUUUUAUAUUUUGUUGGGGUGACAAUAAAAUUUAUAAAUCUUUUAUUAAUUUUUAACAAUGAUUUUUGAUUAAUUGAUCCAUUUUUAAUGAUUAUAAGAUUAAAUUACCUUAGGGAUAACAGCGUAAUUUUUUUGUAGAGUUCAUAUCAAUAAAAAUUUUUGCGACCUCGAUGUUGGAUUACGAAAUAAUUUUAGGUGAAGCAAGCUUUUAA